CUGAGUGAGGGCCCUCUGGGUCCAACCUCCCACCCGUGUUUAUUGUACCUUGUUGCUUCGGUGCGCCCGCCUCACGGCCGCCCGGGGGGCUUCUGCCCCCGGGUCCGCGCGCACCGGAGACACCAUUGAACUCUGUCUGAAGAUUGCAGUCUGAGCAUAAACUAAAUAAGUUA
rnacentral:misc_RNA from 1 species